CCUACGGGAGGCAGCAGUGGGGAAUAUUGCACAAUGGGGGAAACCCUGAUGCAGCGACGCCGCGUGAGUGAAGAAGUCUUUCUGUAUGUAAAGCUCUAUCAGCAGGGAAGAAAAUGACGGUACCUGAUUAAGCCUCCCCGGCUCACUCCGGGCCAGCAGCCGCGGUCAUACGUAGGGGGCAAGCGUUAUCCGGAUUUACUGGGUGUAAAGGGAGCGUAGACGGCAGCGCAAGUCUGAAGUGAAAUGCCGGGGCUUAACCCCGGAACUGCUUUGGAAACUGUGCAGCUAGAGUGCAGGAGAGGUAAGUGGAAUUCAUAGUGUAGCGGUGAAAUGCGUAGAGAUUAGGAGGAACACCAGUGGCGAAGGUGGCUUACUGGACUGUAACUGACGUUGAGGCUCGAAAGCGUGGGGAGCAAACAGGAUUAGAUACCCUUGUAGUC
rnacentral:rRNA from 1 species